rnacentral:rRNA from 1 species
GACGAACGCUGGCGGCGUGCUUAACACAUGCAAGUCAAGGGGGCCCAGCAAUGGGCAACCGGCGAACGGGUGCGUAACACGUGAGCAACCUACCGAAMUGUGGGGGAUAGCCGGCCUAACGGCCGAGUAAUACCGCAUACGCUUUCAGUGAGGCAUUUCAUUGAAAGGAAACCUACGGGACAKWUCGAGGGGCUCGCGGCCUAUCAGCUAGUUGGCGAGGUAACGGCUCACCAAGGCGACGACGGGUAGCUGGUCUGAGAGGAUGGCCAGCCACAUUGGGACUGAGAUACGGCCCAGACUCCUACGGGAGGCAGCAGUGGGGAAUCUUGCGCAAUGGCCUAACGGCUGACGCAGCGACGCCGCGUGUGGGAUGAAGCUCYUCGGAGUGUAAACCACUGUUGCCCGGGACGAAYAGCUCGAUUAAUCGAGCCUGACGGUACCGGGUGAGGAAGCACCGGCUAACUCCGUGCCAGCAGCCGCGGUAAUACGGGGGGUGCGAGCGUUGUCCGGAAUCACUGGGCGUAAAGGGCGCGUAGGUGGUCUGAUAGGGUGUGGUGAAAGUCCGGGGCUCACCCCGGAUCUGCCGUGCCGACUG